AUACGGAAGGUCCGGGCGUUAUCCGGAUUUAUUGGGUUUAAAGGGAGCGCAGGCGGAGAUGCAAGCGUGACGUCAAAUUUCGGGGCUCAACCCCGUCUCGCGUCGCGGACUGCGUCCCUUGGUUGCGGGAAGGGGAGGCGGAACUCGUGGUGUAGCGGUGAAAUGCAUAGAUAUCACGAAGAACUCCGAUCGCGAAGGCAGCCUUCCGGCCCGUCAACGACGCUCAUGCUCGAAGGUGCGGGUAUCAAACAGGAUUAGAUACCCUGGUAGUCCGCACAGUAAACGAUGGACACCCGCGGUUUGGCCUGUAUGGCUGAGCCGCCAAGCGAAAGCGUUAAGUGUCCCACCUGGGGAGUACGCCGGCAACGGUGAAACUCAAAUGAAUUGACGGGG
rnacentral:rRNA from 1 species